rnacentral:lncRNA from 1 species
GAACAGGAGCCAAAACAAAAUACCAAAACAACAUAUCCAGAAAACUUUAAAUGUGUGUUAAAAAUCAAUUUCUGAAUCUUAACAUGCCUUUCAAAUGCUAUCCCUGGUUGAGAUAUUAACAAAUUUCUCUAAACGUGUAAAACAGCAUCAGCAUUUGGCAAAUUUACUAAUUAGUCAAAUCUAUUUUAUAACAGCUUUUACCAAAAAAAAAAAAAAAAAUGGUCAAAGUAUAAUUUUCACUUAGAAUGAAAUUAUCUAACAUCUAGCCAAAAUUAAAACAACAGGUAAGUGCAAGUGUUCUAACUUCAAGGGUUUGCUAUUUGGUUUGCUGCUUUAAGGUCUUAACUAAUUAAUCAGACUUUUCUAAAAUACCAACAUCCCUAAAUUAAAAUGUAAGACAUGAAAUCACCAAUCAGCUGACCAAAGACUGAAAUGACUGAGCAUAAACUCACAAGUACUUCAUGACUCAAUUUCUCAACAUUUCUCUCACAAGGUUCAAGCUGUUUCAAAAACAAUUCUAAUUGGUCUCAAAAUAGUCUCUAACUGAAAUACAAAUCAAAGUAUGUGGUAUUCCCCAAGUGCCACUGACCAAUUUUCUAUGAAUUCUAAUAACCAUUUAAAAACCAAUUGUCAUUUUUUUUAAAUAUUUCUAAAAUAUCAAAUAGCCAGGUGGUAGUGCUGCAUGUCUUUAAUCUCAACACUCAGCAGGAAGAGGCAGAUCUGAGCUGGAGGUCUGCCUGGUUUACAGGAUAGUCAAUGCUACACAGAGAAACCCUGUCUUAAAGUAUACAAGACCCAAAGGGACCGCAGAGUCAGAAUCUAGGCAUUUGUACAUCUCACUGGGCAGCUUUAUUCCUUCCAUCUAGGACUAAAGGUGUUUGGAUUGAGUUCUAGACCUAUCCAAAUAUGGAUACAGGGCAUAACAGGCAAGCUGGGUGGAGGUCUGUUGAUAGAAGAGUCACAGUGAGACAGCAGUGAAGAAUUAAGGAGGCUUGGGGAGGGGCCUACACUUCUGCACUAUCUGUGAUCAGGACGACAGUCCAAAUUCAACUAUAUAUUAACUUCAAUUACUUGAGGUGUUUAAAAGAUAAAAGUGUACUCAAGGUUUUCAGCAUCUGAAAAUAUAUAGAGAAAAAAAUUAUAGCAAACUAAUACUUCAUGUGGAAGUAUUAAAUUUAAAAUUUAAAUUAUGUACCCACACACCACAGUUAUAUCUUUAACAGUACUAACACCAGAUAUGCAGCCUAAAGUACUUCUCACAGACUUGAACUCCAUCUACAACUAACAUUAAGAAAUAAAAACAAAAACCAUCUUCAUAAACCACUGAUCAUAAAUUUCUAUUUUUUGUUCUCUAACUUGAUACUAUAUUUAAUUAACUGACUCCUUUUGUUUAGGUAUGCUUACACCUAAAAGAUGGAGAUUGUUUUGAUACUAAGAUAAAACUUUGAGAAUCCUUACCAAAUUUUACCAUUAAAACCCUUAGUAUAAAAGAUUCCUAUGAUCAAAGUCUAAUAGUUCUUUUUAAGUUGUAUUUUUAAAAUAUUAAUGAUUAGAUGCUCCACCUGCUGAAGAAGAAUAUGACCUGGAAUUCCAAAAUUGACACAUGGUUCAUAAACGAAAGUUACUUAGAGAAAAUAGCCUGAAAAAUGAAAAAGAACAGCGAAUCCUUGUUCUAAAGGAAAGAGAAAACCUGCAUGUGUAAAUAAGUUCCAGUGGAAGGUUUAGAAUCUGUCCUGUGCCCCAUGCUGUUUAUUAAUUACUGCAGUUUAAAACAACAACAAUAACAACAAGGAGGAUGUGUGAACUGCAUUGCUCCUUCAUUCAGGUCAGCUUGGCUUUCUUCUUGCCAGGGCCCUUAUGCCCUUUGGCCUUUCUUCUCAGAUUGCGCCUGUCUACUACAGGAACUUCCACUUCAAUCUCCUCUGAGCUGCUAUCCACAGCUUUCUCUGCUGACUGUGUAAACUGUUCCAGGUGCUCAGAGGACGCUUCAGACUGUUCCUCUGACUGGCUCUUCUGUCCUGCAUUCUGUGGAAAUGGCGCGUCUUCAAGUUCUACCUCUAUCAGAGAACUCUGAGUAGCCGAUGGUUCCUGGGCCUCAGGUGCUCCCUCCUCACCCUGGUCUUCCACUGAGGAAGUAGUGUUGGGUGAUAAAUUCUGAGAGACUGGUUCUUCGGGAAAUUCUGGUACCACAGAAUUGGGAAAAUUACCAUCAGACUUUUCUAUAUUUGAUACAGUGGCAACAUUGUCUGAGCUCCCCAAAAGUGUUUUCUUUUUUGAAACUGGGGACAGAUUUUCUUCAGUAUGUCCUUUAUCAUCAGAUGGGCUUUGAUCGAUCAACAUUUCUGAGUCAGUAUCAGGUGAGGUCUGGGAAAAGCACACAAGAAACAGGUCAGUGAGGCAUUUUACAAUGCAGUUCUAAAGCGAUUCAUUCUCAAUGUCACUGUGAAGACCUCUGGACUCCUCAUUUUUGUUCAGCAUGAAGACAUUAUUUUAAAUGCAACUCAAUUUCUUCAAAAUUGUCUCAUGUUGACUGUAAUACAAUAAAAGAAAUCUUUAUGCCUGAAAAAAGUAUCCAAGAAACUUUGAGCUUCAAGAUCAUACCAAAUCGUCAACUGCCUCGAGGUUUUGGUGUUGCUGAAGCUGGAAGAAGAAUCUCUAGGGAUAGCACUGCUAGUCUCGCUAAGGGCCAAAGGCCAGCGCCUACAGAUCAGAUACACUGAGGGGAGCUGCAGAGAUGGAGACAAAUCACUUGACUUUUGAGAGUGAAAUUUGAUUCUCUGGGAAAUGAACCAACGAACACACACACACACACACACACACACACACACACACACACACACACACACACUUGGUGAAAAAAGCAAGGCUACUGCAACUUUAUUUUUUCUCCUACAGCUUAUAUAUCCCAGUAAAAUCUUUCAAUCAAUAUAAAAAUUGUAAUGUGGUUAUAUUCUAUUUUUCUUUAAAUGAAUGAUUACAAUAAAUAUUAGU